ACUGUGAUGCCGACUAUGCUGGAGAUUGUGGGACAUGACGAUCAACUACGGGAUACUUCUUCAGUCUUGGAUCUGGAGCUAUAUCAUGGUGCGUAAGAGACAACCAACUGUGGCAUUAUCCAGUACUGAAGUAGAGUAUCGAUCAGCAGCAAUGGCAGCACAAGAAAGCACCUGGCUCAAGCAGUUGAUGGAGGAUCUUCACCAGCCAACAGAAUACCAAGACCAAACACAUAGAAGUUCAUUAUCACUACAUAAGAGAAAAGGUCCUUGAGGGUGAUAUCAUAAUGGUGCCUACCAAGAUAGAGGAGCAGACUGCCGACAUAGUCACAAAAAGUCUCAACAAAGCAAAGUUCGAGAAGUUUCGAGAGGCACUCGGCAUGAUCUGCAAGACAACAUUGAAAAGAUGUUUGCCUUUAGGGGGAGUGUUGAGAGAAGACAAGUCAAUCUUCUAGAGUGAUUCACACUAUGCAAAAACAACAUAUUUACAAUGGAGUAGUCUAGACUUGGUAAUAAAAUAAAUUAGAUAAUAUUGUAAUAUUUAGAAAAUCUCUAGAAUGGGAGACACUUGUCACAACCUCAUGGUCCCCCCUUGCCUAUAAAUAGAGCCCCCUCUUUUGCCAUGCCAUUCAUCUUAUGAGCAUGGUAGAUGUGUGGUGCUAGGAAGUAGUGAGAAGGGUGAGCUGUGUACCUUAUGUAAUACUACUGUGUUGUAAUAAAGCAAGUGUUUUGUAAGUGUUA